rnacentral:rRNA from 1 species
AUCAUUAUUGAGUUAAUAAAGAGGUUGUUAGCUGACCCUUUGACAAGGGUAUUGUGCACGCCUUUAGACUUUUUAUACACUUGUGCACCUAUUGUAGGGUUAGGGUUUCGGCCCUCUCUAUGUCUUAUCAACUCGAAUUCUGUUUGAGAAUGGAUGGUAUAAUAUAAUAAUAUAACUUUCAGCAACGGAUCUCUUGGCUCUCGCAUCGAUGAAGAACACAGCGAAAUGUGAUAAGUAAUGUGAAUUGCAGAAUUCAGUGAAUCAUCGAAUCUUUGAACGCAUCUUGCGCCCCUUGGUAUUCCGAAGGGCAUGCCCGUUUGAGUGUCAUUGUAUUCUCAAUAUCUUAGAUAUUGGAUUUGGAGGGUUUUGCAGGCUUGUAGGUCUGCUCCUCUUGAAUGUAUUAGCUGGGAACCUUAUGUUGGACUGGCUUCAGUGUGAUAACUAUCUGCACUGCUGCGCUUAUAUAAAGGUUUCUGCUCAAGGGCUUCUUUUGACAUUUGACCUCAAAUUGGGUAGGACUACCCGC